CGGGGUGCAGCAGGCGCGAAAACUUUACAAUGCCGGCAACGGCGAUAAGGGAACCUCGAGUGCCAGGUUACAAAUCUGGCUGUCGUGAUGCCUAAAAAGCAUUGCAUAGCAAGGGCCGGGCAAGACCGGUGCCAGCCGCCGCGGUAACACCGGCGGCUCGAGUGGUAACCGUUAUUAUUGGGUCUAAAGGGUCUGUAGCCGGCCGGAUAAGUCUCUUGGGAAAUCUGGCAGCUUAACUGUCAGGCUUUCAGGAGAUACUGUCUGGCUCGAGGCCGGGAGAGGUGAGAGGUACUUCAGGGGUAGGGGUGAAAUCUUGUAAUCCUUGAAGGACCACCAGUGGCGAAGGCGUCUCACCAGAACAGACCUGACGGCAAGGGACGAAAGCUAGGGGCACGAACCGGAUUAGAUACCCGGGUAGUCCUAGCCGUAAACGAUACUCGCUAGGUGUCGGCCACGGUGCGACCGUGGUCGGUGCCGUAGGGAAGCCGUGAAGCGAGCCACCUGGGAAGUACGGCCGCAAGGCUGAAACUUAAAGGAAUUGGCGGGGGAGCAC
rnacentral:rRNA from 1 species